rnacentral:rRNA from 1 species
AUUGAACGCUGGCGGUAUGCCUUACACAUGCAAGUCGAACGGUAGAGGGGCAACCCUUGCGAGUGUCGAACGGGUGAGUAAUAUAUCGGAACGUGCCCAGUCGUGGGGGAUAACGUAGCGAAAGCUACGCUACUACUGCAUACGACCUGAGGGUGAAAGCGGGGGAUCGCAAGACCUCGCGCGAUUGGAGCGGCCGAUGGCAGAUUAGGGAGUUGGUGGGGUAAAGGCCUACCAAGCCUCCGAUCUGUAGCUGUUCUGAGAGGAGGACCAGCCACAUUGGGACUGAGACACGGCCCAGACUCCUACGGGAGGCAGCAGUGGGGAAUUUUGGACAAUGGGCGGAAGCCUGAUGCAGCCAUACCGCGUGCGUGAAGAAGGCCUUCGGGUUGUAAACCGCUUUUGUCAGGGAAGAAAUCUUCUGGGUUAAGAGCUCGAGAGGAUGACGGUACCUGAAGAAUAAGCACCGGCUAACUACGUGCCAGCCGCCGCCGUAA